rnacentral:lncRNA from 1 species
AACUGUUGAGUUCCAUACUAUUACAGUCACUGUAAUAGUAUCAGUAUAAAUAAAUAAUCUUCCAAACUCGCCCAAAUCAAACAUGUCGUGAGUUCUAUAGUCACUGUUGAAAAAAGUAGCUGAAGCUCUGAAUCGUACGAAUCUGCCGCCAUGAAAAUCGAUGAUGGGUUUUUUUUGUUUGGAGGAGAGAGAAAAGGGGGCGGAAGAGGCGAAUUGAGACUUGAGGCCUUUAUCGUCGAUUCGUCUCUCUCAUUAAAAGCCUUCCCGUUCCCUCUUACCCUUUCCUCUUUCAUACCCAACUUUCCUUUGUGUGUCGAGGUUCGAGAAAAUCCAAAUGAAGAUGAGAAGUCUCUGCUUACCUUGAGGUACAAUCAAUUUUGUUAAUUUCUAUUUCAUUUACACAAUCCAUUGUUUUCUUAGUCAGAAAUGAAUUUUUGAUUUUUGUUCCAGUUUUUGGUUUGUAAAACCCUAUGGGUCACUGAAUUUGUACAUAGAAGAACCACAAUCUUCAAUAAUUUGAGUUGUUUAGAAAAGGGUUUUGUGGGUUAUGG